rnacentral:rRNA from 1 species
GACGAACGCUGGCGGCGUGCCUAAUACAUGCAAGUAGAACGCUGAAGGAGGAGCUUGCUCCUCUGGAUGAGUUGCGAACGGGUGAGUAACGCGUAGGUAACCUGCCUGGUAGCGGGGGAUAACUAUUGGAAACGAUAGCUAAUACCGCAUAAUAGCAGUUGUUGCAUGACAACUGUUUGAAAGGUGCAAUUGCACCACUACCAGAUGGACCUGCGUUGUAUUAGCUAGUUGGUGGGGUAACGGCUCACCAAGGCGACGAUACAUAGCCGACCUGAGAGGGUGAUCGGCCACACUGGGACUGAGACACGGCCCAGACUCCUACGGGAGGCAGCAGUAGGGAAUCUUCGGCAAUGGACGGAAGUCUGACCGAGCAACGCCGCGUGAGGGAAGAGGGUUGUCGGAUCGUAAAGCUCGGUUGUAAGAGAAGAACGAGUGUGAGAGUGGAAAGUUCACACUGUGACGGUAUCUUACCAGAAAGGGACGGCUAACUACGUG